GAUCAUGGCUCAGGACGAACGCUGGCGGCGCGCCUAACACAUGCAAGUCGAACGAGAGAUGAGGAGCUUGCUCUUCAAAUCGAGUGGCGAACGGGUGAGUAACGCGUGAGGAACCUGCCUCAAAGAGGGGGACAACAGUUGGAAACGACUGCUAAUACCGCAUAAGCCCACGGGUCGGCAUCGACCUGAGGGAAAAGGAGCAAUCCGCUUUGAGAUGGCCUCGCGUCCGAUUAG
rnacentral:rRNA from 1 species